CGGCGGAUGAGGCUUCUUUCAGCAAGCUGCUGCCCUGGGCGCACUGCCUUGCGGGUCACUGUGGUUGCUCCUGUGCUUCAGCGGGACUAGAAGCUGCCGCCCACGGGCAGCGGGGAAGAAAUCUGGGCAAAGCCAUGAGCCCUCCGAGGCUGAGCUCCAGUUGAGGGGCUCACCUGCCUUGCAUCGUUCCGAGUCCUGUACUGGACUGCAUCAGGCUGCGUCUCCUCAGGAAAUGGGAUCUUGGUUCCUGGCCAGCAUCCGGCCUCUCUGCACCUCACAGACGCUGCAAAUCCUUACUCAGUGACUUCAGGGAUACAGGUGGUACCUCUAAAUCCAAAAACUCCAAAUGUCCACCAGCUCCAGUCACAUUGGAGAUACAGGUGUGGUUUGCUCCUAAGACCCACCCAGCACACGUGAGAUGGGGAGACCUGGAUUGCAUCCCCAUGUCUGUCCCAGUGGAGAUAUCAUUGGAAAAGCUGCAGUGAUCUCUAUAAAAAUCUCAACCACCCGCUCCCGGUAGGUUCAGCGCUGCACUCUAAGAGGAGAAUGGGUCUGACUCCUCAAGGAGAUGCCUCUGGUCCAGGCUUUGUAAACUUGGGCCUUCCAGCCAGAUUCCUCCAAGCUCAGUGUCCGCUGCUGCUGGGCUGAGGGGAACCCCACUCCUUCACCACCGACUCCUGCUCCUGGCUGCACCUGCCCUUCCAACAGUGUCUCCUCUCAAGAAAGGGAGAAUCCUCCAGCCUUCUGUGCCUGCAUGCUGAGAACCCAUAGAGAGGAGCAUCCCUGGAGAAUCCCAGCUUGCAGCCAUCUUCCCUCAAGCGCAUUUCCAGUGUCCAGCCUGGCUUUCUGAUCAUUUUUGCUUUAGGAAGGCCUCCGACCAUGGCACUCUGGUAAAACCAUGUCCCAGCCCCCGGUCUCCCUAGCAACGCCGACUCUCACCCCAGAUGGUUCCUGCCAGGAUGGGAGGGUGGAGCUCACAGAGUUUGAAGGAGUGCCACCUUCACAUGGCACAAGUGUCUUUACAGAACACAUGAGGCAGAAAACAGAUGUCCACAAAUCUGGGCAGAUGGACACAUGCCGACAGCAUGGCAAGGUCCCCUCCUUUGCCCCGGCCCAUCACUUCCUCCCAUGUGUAGGAGCAGGUCCACCCAAAACAGCGUGAAGGUGUCAAGCCAGUGGCUCCUCUUCUGGGGAGGGAGUGAGGAAGGAAGAGCAGGAGACAGGCAGAAGAACUCACUGGGCGGUUGGCGACCUGCAGGGAGACAGAGAAGGACACGCCAGAGCCCAGGGAGAGCACUAACCACCACUGACAGUUUCCCAUUUCAUAUAUUUUUUCCGAGGCCACGAAGAGGAGGAGCCUGUCACAAAGCACCAGUGGGAACUCACUGCCCCCGACACCUCCUGACGCAUCAGCUGGUGAGCACCAGAAGCCGGCCCAGUGCCCACAGCCAAGCCCACGUGGUGUGGCCCACAGCACCUUCACAGGAAGGGCCUGAGGGUUGGCUGCAGUCAUUUUUUUUUUUUUUCAAACUGGAGGGGAACGUUUUUCCUUGGUAAACCCCCAGCGCUGAAGUCACUCAGGUGAGCCUCGGUGAAGAAGCCUCAGACGCUCAGCAAGGCCCAGGGAGGAUGAGCUCAUCUCUGGAGGCCAAGCUCACAUGCCCCAGACUGCAGCAACAUGCCCUCCCGCCCACGCCUGCUCCCUUGCCAGGGUGUGUCCUGCCCUCAGCGGGCCACUGGCCCCCAAAUCCACCACAGAAGGCCAACAGGACAGGGGAGUCCCAGUGACAUGCCACUGCCUCCCCCUACCCAGGAGGCUUGCUUUAGGUUCCCCUGCUGCCCUGGGCCCACGUUAAAUCAGCUGUUCCAUGCAAAGACUUGCAGAGCCAAGAGGAGAGGUGCAGGCGAGUUGUUAGGAGCAUGGGUUUCACAACGGUGUGGUCUCACUGCUGCCCCUGGCCACUGCCUGUGCCUUCCGGGCAGCGACUGCACCUCCUCCUCAGUUAACAAGCACAGUGGCGGAUGCCCAUGCCAUGGGUUCCGUGCAUGGCGGUCACCAUCACCACACGGAGUCCAAGAGCAAGAACUCUGCCAAGACACUGUUAUUAUCAAAAGCAAAUGGUUUGGGUAAUGCAAAAUCCAAAACGAUCCUGAAGUUUAUAUUUUGGUUAGGAAUGCAAUGGCCAGAGAAUUGAAGCCACAUGAAGGUGCCAUGAGCGUGCUGCCUGGCCCAUCUCAGGGGGCACCCAGCUGCCAAGAGCUGUGCCGCAGCUGGUCUCGCCUCUGUCUAGGGGGGCAGAGCCUGACGGGAACGCCCCAUUGUGCCUCAGAAUGAAAGUUCAGUGGUCUGCAGAGAGGAGAGGAAAGGGGAAGCUGAAUGUCCCGUGGAAAAGUGGCACAGAGGCCUGGCUGGGUGAACCAGGGCCCGGGACGGGAAUGGCCAUUGGUGUGUCAGCUGCUCACCUGGGCUUGGGUGUCCAGGUCCUGAGCUCACUCCUGGUGAUACACCCUCUGCAGCCCAGGUGGCAGAGGGGACAAGGAGCGCCUGCUACCUGAGGCCUCUGCUUGGGAAGUUCCUGUCAGGAGAGGCAGGCAGGGCGUGGGCAGCGACAGCUGGGGCCGGCAGGUGAGGACACGUAGUUGGGAGGGGUGCAGCCGGCAGCACCUGGGAAUGCAGCACUGUGCUCUUCCUGGGGGCUGUGGCCUCACAGAGGCUCCCAGGCUACACUGGAGGAGGCUCUGCUCCAUGGUGUACACACCCCAGGUAUCACGGGGGCCCUCCCAGGACCAACCCAGCCGGUGGUCAGGGGUCCUUGCUCUCUGCCGGGCACACUGCGGCCUCUGGGUGUUUUCAGAACGGCAAUCACAUUCUCAAGCUUAACUGUCUCUAUGGCACCGCAAAUGGCAGGGCUGCUCCCCACUCCCUGGAGGAAGUGAGCCUGACCCCCAGUUCUCGCCAGUGAGCUUGGCAGAGGCACCACAGGCUCUUGGGUCCCCUCAUACAAGCUUUGUCAGGGGGCCGGACGUCCACCUGCAGGCCCAGCCCUUCCUCAUCACAACAGAGAGCCCACCACAGGGGACAGCCACAACUUAGCCCCGUGGUUCUGCCCCCAGCAGACAUGUGGUGAUGUCUGGAGACAUUCUAGUUGGCACAAGUUGGGGGGAAGCUCCUGGUAUCUAGACAGCAGAGGCCGGGGCACCGAUAGCUCUCCACAUGCAGACGCCCCACAGCAAAGAAAUGUCCAGCGCAGAACGUCAGCAGUGCUGAGGGUAAGAACCCGGCCUCACACGCACGUUUCCAGUGGGCUGGAAGGUGGCUCCUACAGUCAGGCUGUUCAAAGGUCUGAACCUCACGCGCGAUCUCGACAUUAGAACAUGGGCUGUGACCGGAGAAGCAGCCUGCGGGGGUGGGCCAGGAAGGGGCGCCACCCUGAAGGCUCAGUCUGUGUGGCAACGACACUCACAGACAAGCCCUGCGUACCCUGACCGUAGACUGGUGUGUGCACCAAGCAUGCCAGGGACCCCAGGUCACACGCCCCUGGGGGAUAGGAGAGGUGGUGUCUGUCCCCUGGUCCCUCAGCCAAGUCAGCCGAUGUCCCCAGCUGGGAUGUCUGCGGAAGCUGUGGUCCCGAUGCCACACACGCCAAGGCAGGCAUCACGCUCUGGGCGCCGGGGGACCCUGCGUGCUUGGGUGCAUUGCACACCCAGGUCACCAGGGACACGGUGACAUGCCGCUGUGAGCCCUCAAGAAGGCCUCAUCUCCAUACAGCGCUGCGGCCAGCUGGUGACAGGUCUCAAAGGGAGGGAGCAACCCUACAUCUCUGCUUCCAAAGUCCGAGCAUGUGUGGGGACAGGCAGCUGGAUGAAGCACCUCAGAGAUCCACUGCCCAAGGCUGCCCGGUAGACCUGUCCCUGGGAGGGAAGCAGCCCAGCCCCGCUGAUAGAACCUGCAUUUCAAACAGACCCAGGGCUGCAGCACACAACACGUUUCCAGUGGAGAAGCCCUUUGCAGAGUUCAGAGCUCUCGCAGGCCUCGUGUUCAACUCCUCGUCUUGCCACCUGCUUUUGUUAUGCAAGAAACUGAGGCAGAAAGCAGGGAAGCAACACAGCUGGGUAGGGCCCAGCAGAGUCUCACCCCAAGCUCCCCAGCUGCUCACCCACAGUGCUCUGGGCCCCUCCCACUUCCACAACUGCGACCUUGUCUUUGACCUUGAACUUCUGUCUCCUCCUCCCAAAAUGCCUGUGACCAACUGGGCUGCCUUUGAUGAGCUGCUCCGAGGAACAGCAGCCACUUGCCCACUGGCCCCCAGCCCUCCCUGAAGGGUGGCAGCUGAUGCCUGUGUGCCUGAAGGCAGCUCCUGCCCCCAGUAUCCACAAGGAGGGACAAACUCUCACAUGGACAGUGAGGGUGUGACAGGCCCUGAAGAACAGGUUCUGUGUCCACUUUAGAUGCUGGAACUACACUUAAAGAGCGACCAGCUUUUACAGAUACAAAAAUAAACAUGUUUGCCUUUGCUUGUUAUUGCCAAGGAAGCCAUCUUCCCCUGCUUUGACACCUCAACUGUGAAUGCAUUUCCCAUAACAUCUGAAAAUGUACACUAAAAAUCAAGUCACACUUUAAGGUAGUGUUUUUGGCCAAUUUGUUCUGAGAACAAAUACAAAACUGCAUAAAAAUAGCUUCCACAGGGAAAAAAGGUGCAAGUCCAACAGACACCCUUUCCAGUCACCUAGACAUCACCUGGGUGUUGAAAACCACCUUGAGCCCAAAUCCACCUGCACCAUUGAUUCUCUCGUGUCAGGUGCAUCCACGGGGCUUAUCAAAGCUCUGUUUUAUUCUUUUAAAAAUGACAACUUACUAUUUUGGGCAGGACAAAUGUUCCCAGAGAACUUUUAAAUCUGAUGUUAUAGUUUUAUUUCUUAGUUCUAGGUACAGGGCUAGAUGUUUGGCUGAAGCUGCGUGUGCCACAACACUGCAGGCCCCACACCACGCAGCCAGACGCCCCUCCCAGUCCUCCUUCCUCCUGACGUGGCUCCCAGUGGAAUGAGAUGGCUGGGGUCUCAUGAGGGGCCAGCUGCGUGGGCCGUCCAUUCUCUACCAUGGCAUGCCGACAACAGGGUCACAGAGAAGUCCCCCUUUCAAACCAAGAUUUGAGCUGAAGAGUCAGGUUCCUGGUCGCAGGGCUCCGUCAUCUGCAGGAAAAUUAGUGAAGAAGUGGAGGGCCUUGCAAUGUGAAAGGGUGGGAGAGAGAAAGCCAGAGAGACUUCUGCAAAACAAGCUGCAGAUGGGCAUGGAGAAGAGCAAAGCCGCAUACAGGCAUAGUGGAAAAGUACGCUGACCUUCUCAGUGGCUCUAAAACAACAAGCGAAAGACAACCACCAGCAUCCGUCUUCUUCCUUUCCAGCCAGACAACUCUCCCUGGCCCUAAUGGGUUUCAGGCAGAGAUGGUUUCCUGAGGGCAGCACCAGUCAGAAUGGGUGGAGCAGGCCCCAGAGCUUCUAAUGGUCCCAGCUGAGUCCCCCAAGGCUCAGCACGUGAUCCUGCCGGUCAUACACACAGCCCCAGCUCGAGCACUGUGCGGCCACUCUCUCUCCAAGUACUCUCUGCCCGGGAGCCCACUUCAUCCUGCUUCAUCAGUCUCUGAAGCUGAGAGAACACCCUUGUUUGUUUCUGCAGACAUUCCUUUGCUUCAGCACUCACCGCUCCCCAGACCACAAAGGUGUAUGGACUUAGCAAAACCAGUCAUAAUGAUUUUUCUAUAUCAAAACCAGCCCUAACAAUUUUUAUACAACUUUUAAAUAAAAACAGUGGAAAAUACAAUAAAUAAGUCCUCUAAAUAAAGCUGUGGUAUGAAGUUUAAAUGCCCCAAGUCAGAAGUCAAUUGGAUGUCUCUGUCUGAGCUGAGAGCACAUGACAUACAACGAAACCACAUGGACAGACACAACCCCGAAUGCCAAUUCCAGUGUCCUGUGCAGUGAUGACCACACUGUUAGAAGCAUUUUAACUCUUGUUUUUACAAACUUUCUUUUUACAUAUAUGUUAGCGGUCAAAGAACUCUGUUUUUCUUGGUCCAAACCAGAGGAAAUUUAUUGUCCAAACCAGACCCACCCCAAUGCAUUUGCCUCUGAUGUGAGAAAGAAACACUAGGGCUUCAACCAGAUGAGGGGCAUUUAGGAAAACCCACAGCUAAAGUCACAUUCAAUGCGGAACACUGGGCACCUCCCCCUAAGGUCAGGAACAAGACGAGGGUGUCCGCUCUUAUUCCUUUCAGCCUCGGCACUGAUGGUCCUAGGGCAACUCUAUGUUGACGCCUCUGAGGAACUGCCGGGCUGCAGUGAAUCCAGGUGACCUCACAGAAACUUGUAUGUGAGCAUUCGCAGCGGCAUCAUUCACAGUGGCCAGGAGGUGGAAACAACCCCGAUGUCCAUCAACUGAUGAACCAACCGAUGAACACAGGGUGACCUGUCCAUACAGUGGGGUCUCAGCCACAGAGGGAGCAAGGCCGUGAAACCCCCAGCGAGAGCGAGGCGCGGAAACCCGCAGCGGGAGCGAGGCGCGGAAACAGGCCAUGACACGGAUGAGCCACACCAUGGAUGACCCCACGGACACGCCACCAAAGCACCAUCAUGCUGAGUGACAGAAGCCAGGCACCCAGACCAUGCACUGUAUGAUUCCUUUCACGUGAAAUUUCCAGAACAGGGAAAUCCAGAGCGACAGAAAGCAGGUUAGAGGUUCCAGGGGCUGGGGGUUGGGGGAAUGGGGAGAGACUACUUAACAGGCAGAGACUUGUUUUUGGGGUGGUGAAAAUGUUCUAAACGGACUAUGGCUGCACAGCUCUGUGAACACACUAAAAACAUUGGCUUGGACAACUUAAAUGGUCGGAUGCUGACUUAGGUCUCAAUAAAGCUAAAAAAUAAGGUGGCUCCUUCCAGCUUUGCGGGAACCUAACCGCUAG
rnacentral:lncRNA from 1 species